AGCACACACAGCAGUGUAUGUGUUUGUGUGUGUGUGUAUGUAUCUAUAUAUAUAUAUAUAUAUAUAUAUAUAUAUAUAUAUAGAUACAUACACACACACACACACACACACGGUGGGUGUUUG